GAUGAACGCUGGCGGCGUGCCUAAUACAUGCAAGUCGAGCGAACGGACGAGAAGCUUGCUUCUCUGAUGUUAGCGGCGAACGGGUGAGUAACACGUGGAUAACCUACCUAUAAGACUGGGAUAACUUCGGGAAACCGGAGCUAAUACCGGAUAAUAUUUUGAACCGCAUGGUUCAAAAGUGAAAGACGGUCUUGCUGUCACUUAUAGAUGGAUCCGCGCUGCAUUAGCUAGUUGGUAAGGUAACGGCUUACCAAGGCAACGAUGCAUAGCCGACCUGAGAGGGUGACCGGCCACACUGGAACUGAGACACGGUCCAGACUCCUACGGGAGGCAGCAGUAGGGAAUCUUCCGCAAUGGGCGAAAGCCUGACGGAGCAACGCCGCGUGAGUGAUGAAGGUCUUCGGAUCGUAAAACUCUGUUAUUAGGGAAGAACAUAUGUGUAAGUAACUGUGCACAUCUUGACGGUACCUAAUCAGAAAGCCACGGCUAACUACGUG
rnacentral:rRNA from 1 species